rnacentral:rRNA from 1 species
AGAGUUUGAUCCUGGCUCAGAUUGAACGCUGGCGGCAUGCCUUACACAUGCAAGUCGAACGGCAGCACGGGAGCUUGCUCCUGGUGGCGAGUGGCGAACGGGUGAGUAAUAUAUCGGAACGUACCCUAGAGUGGGGGAUAACGCAGCGAAAGUUGCGCUAAUACCGCAUACGAUCUACGGAUGAAAGUGGGGGAUCGCAAGACCUCAUGCUCAUGGAGCGGCCGAUAUCUGAUUAGCUAGUUGGUAGGGUAAAAGCCUACCAAGGCUUCGAUCAGUAGCUGGUCUGAGAGGACGACCAGCCACACUGGAACUGAGACACGGUCCAGACUCCUACGGGAGGCAGCAGUGGGGAAUUUUGGACAAUGGGCGCAAGCCUGAUCCAGCAAUGCCGCGUGAGUGAAGAAGGCCUUCGGGUUGUAAAGCUCUUUUGUCAGGGAAGAAACGGUGGACUCUAAUACAGAUCACUAAUGACGGUACCUGAAGAAUAAGCACCGGCUAACUACGUGCCAGCAGCCGCGGUAAUACGUAGGGUGCAAGCGUUAAUCGGAAUUACUGGGCGUAAAGCGUGCGCAGGCGGUUGUGCAAGACAGAUGUGAAAUCCCCGGGCUCAACCUGGGAAUUGCAUUUGUGACUGCACGGCUAGAGUGUGUCAGAGGGGGGUAGAAUUACACGUGUAGCAGUGAAAUGCGUAGAGAUGUGGAGGAAUACCGAUGGCGAAGGCAGCCCCCUGGGAUAACACUGACGCUCAUGCACGAAAGCGUGGGGAGCAAACAGGAUUAGAUACCCUGGUAGUCCACGCCCUAAACGAUGUCUACUAGUUGUUGGGUCUUAAUUGACUUAGUAACGCAGCUAACGCGUGAAGUAGACCGCCUGGGGAGUACGGUCGCAAGAUUAAAACUCAAAGGAAUUGACGGGGACCCGCACAAGCGGUGGAUGAUGUGGAUUAAUUCGAUGCAACGCGAAAAACCUUACCUACCCUUGACAUGUACGGAAUCCUUGAGAGAUCAGGGAGUGCUCGAAAGAGAACCGUAACACAGGUGCUGCAUGGCUGUCGUCAGCUCGUGUCGUGAGAUGUUGGGUUAAGUCCCGCAACGAGCGCAACCCUUGUCAUUAGUUGCUACGAAAGGGCACUCUAAUGAGACUGCCGGUGACAAACCGGAGGAAGGUGGGGAUGACGUCAAGUCCUCAUGGCCCUUAUGGGUAGGGCUUCACACGUCAUACAAUGGUACAUACAGAGGGCCGCCAACCCGCGAGGGGGAGCUAAUCCCAGAAAGUGUAUCGUAGUCCGGAUUGUAGUCUGCAACUCGACUACAUGAAGUUGGAAUCGCUAGUAAUCGCGGAUCAGCAUGUCGCGGUGAAUACGUUCCCGGGUCUUGUACACACCGCCCGUCACACCAUGGGAGCGGGUUUCACCAGAAGUAGGUAGCCUAACCGUAAGGAGGGCGCUUACCACGGUGGGAUACGUGACUGGGGUGAAGUCGUAACAAGGUA